rnacentral:rRNA from 1 species
AUGCCAGCAGCCGCGGUAAUACGUAUGGUGCAAGCGUUAAUCUUAAUUACUGGGCGUGAAGCGUGCGCAUGCGGUUUGCUAAGACAGAUGUGAAAUCCCCGGGCUCAACCUGGGAACUGCAUUGGUGACUGGAAUGCUAGAGUAUGGCAGAGGGGGGUAGAAUUCCACGUGUAGCAGUGAAAUGCGUAGAGAUGUGGAGGAAUACCGAUGGCGAAGGCAGCCCCCUGGGCCAAUACUGACGCUCAUGCACGAAAGCGUGGGGAGCAAACAGGAUUAGAUACCCUGGUAGUCC